CUGCACAAGUUAGUGGUUACUUGGGCAUGGUUGCUCUCUCAUUUCAGAGUCUCCUUUUGAAGUGGUUCAAAGGUAGAGAGCACUUUAGGAGAAUGGUGUGUUUUAAAACCUGGCUGGCAUUUACAAUGUUCUGCUCUGUUCUUCUCUGCAUUAGCUAUAAGAUAGUGGGCUUUAGUUUGCAGUAGAGAUCUUGUGGCUCAGGAGCCUGAAGAGUUUACUACUCAGCUCUGUGAAUCUUCUUUAAGAUGAUCUUUGAGAAUACCUUUCCAUGUCGUCCUUAAAGCAAGCUAUUGUCAUCCAUUGCUAGCAUUCAGAUUCUCAAGACAAGUAUGUCAUGAGAAAUGAACCUGCAAAGACUACCUGCUUUCUUACCACACUCAUUUCUCCUCACCACUUGUGCCUGCUGAAGGUGAGGUAAUGUGAGUUAGCACAUUUGGCUUGUUUUUCUGAGAGCAGCUCGCCUAGUCCACUUCUAGUUCCUGAGUGGUGAAUUAAUCUGAGUUCCCAUGGAACAACUUCAGAAGAUGCAGAGUGAGUUUUGAUGGGAAAGAGACUCUUCAUGGGCUACUCUAGAACAAACAAUGGAAACGGAUCACAGGAAAGAAUGAAGGACAUGGUUCAUGUCUGAUUCAGGUGAUUUCUACAAACAGUUCCAGGAGCUUUCUCCAUUCUCCCAGUUGAGAUUGGCAUUAUGCUUAGAGAAGAAAAAGCGUCUCAAAAGAAAACUAGUCACUCUUGAGGUAGAAUUGCCUCACCUGAAGAGGGAGGAGGUAUUUUUCCUUUUCUCUGAGUCAAGAACUCAUGAUCACCAUCACCCAACCCUGCUCACACACACCCUGACCACCACGGGUCUCUAGGCACUUUAAAUUCUAUGAUUUAUAUGAACUCUUACAGGGACGCAGCUGUUCUCCUGGGCAUAUUCACAACACGUUUUUCCACCCACUCACCUCCCAAGGUGGGUUCUUAAGCAAGUAGCAAAAUGAGGUGUGGGCACUGACACAAAGACCAAUGAGGCAUUUUAAGAGAAGUUAAAUUCAGGAAGCUUUAGGGAAACAAACAAAAAUAAAUUUUAAGAAAUCUGUUUGCAUGGAAAGAUAAAACAAUAAUAGAAUGAGAGAGAGAGAGAGAGAGAGA
rnacentral:lncRNA from 1 species